rnacentral:lncRNA from 1 species
UCCUUUAUCACUUGCUUGAAAAAACUGACAGUCGCGCAGUCAGUCAAGUAACGUCACAUUAUUUCUGAUUUAGGAGAAAUUAUGAUUUGGAGGCUUAUUACGGUUCUCGAGCGAGUUUACUCACUUCUCACAUUUUCAUCUCACGUGAGUUUAGUCACUCUAUUACGGAUCUCUCGAGUGAAAAUGUGAAGUAACUAGGCACUUCCGGUAUAGGGAUCUCACAUUUUCACGAAAGUUGACUCCAUUUUGUCAGAUAACCUAGAAAAGUUGUUGUGAAUGUCAGAAAGAAUUGUUGAAGAAAAUGAACGUGACAGAAGCAAAUCCAAGCAAAUUACGCUCACGAGCAUGCGCAGAACGAUUCUCGACACCGAAUUUCGUGUCGAGUUUAUUCAUGUGGAUAACGUCUUUUCACCUCGUGAGAUUCACCGUAAUAGAGCGAGCCAGUCACUUUCGUCAUUUUCACUCGAUUCGAGAACCGUAAUAAGCCCCCUAGUCUGCCUUUAUACGUUUUACGGCGUGUUCCACUCAGAAGGUUUGCCCCGAUGCCGGGCGACGCAUGCACGGAACGAAUGCCCCCUGUUCGAGCCAGUGCAACCAGUAGAAAACGCUAUGAAAUAUAUUUCUAUAUUUCAGUGAUCACACUUUUUAGUGACUGUAGUGGUUGGAUCUAACGGAAUAGGCCAAUGAAACAACUUAGUGUCAUGUGUCAGAAAUUGACACAAGGACAGUGCAUGUUCAAUCGCGUUUUUGAGACAAAUCGGGAAAGGGAUGAUCGUUUCAAUUACCUUACGAUUAAAAAUAUUAACACAGUUCAGAAUGAUGUAAGCUUACUCGAGAUUGCAUAAGAAUGGCAUGUUGGGAAGUUAUUAUUUGUGUUCAUGAAUACUGGUAUGUUGUAUGUAUGAAAUUACAACCAUGUAUUAAAAUUGUUAAAACGAAACCAAUGAUACAAUAGUAUAUACAAUGUUGUAAGCAUUUAUUAAAAAUGUAUGAAAUAAA